AAGCUCGUAGUUGAAUUUCGGGAUCGACGUGACGGUCGUGCCUCACGGGGCACGAACUGUCGCCGUUGAUUUCUCACCUUCUGGAGAAGCUCGAUGUCCUUAAUUGGGUGUCUUGCGGAACCAGGACCUUUACCUUGAAAAAAUUAGAGUUGUUUAAAGCAGGCAUUUUGCUCGAAUACAUUAGCAUGGAAUAAUAGAAUAGGACGGCGUGGUUCUAUUUUGUUGGUUUCUAGGAUCACCGUAAUGAUUAAGAGUAUUAGGU
rnacentral:rRNA from 1 species